rnacentral:lncRNA from 1 species
CUAAAGCUUUACCUCAAGAGAUACCCUCCGCGCCUCUCGUACUAAGGUAAAAUAUAAUCGGGUUAUCGUGCCCCUCUCUAAUAAGCUGGUCCACGGAAACCCCAACUGCAGUGACUAAUCAAUAUCCCACCAAAUCAAUAAAAGUUUCGACAGCAUGACAUGACAAUUAUAUUACUACCUAGCCUGUUAAGGCAAAACAAAUAGUUCAUACAAUUUCAACACAAUUUCCAAUUCAACCAUUUAUGCUAAUAUCACCAUAAGCCAUUCAAUUCAAACCAUAAAUUUACAAUACAAUCAAACAUUCUCCAAUUACUCAAUUUCUAAAAUCAUCAUUCAAUUUCAAAAUGAUUUAUAAAACUCAUUUCAUUUAAUCACAUUUUACUUAUAAAACAUAAGGAUUUACCAUUUAAACUCAUUUUUCUAUAAAAUCACAAAAACGAAUAAAAACUACUUUAGAUAACUAAGACGAUAAUAAGGUUACUCACAAUAUCGGGAGUCGAUGUACUCCUAAGCCCGGUCUUCGAGUACAAUCUCCUUACCGUUAUCGGAAGUUUCACCACCUAAACAUAAUGCACAACAAGCAAUUUAUUAUAUUUGUAUUAAACCGUUAUAAAACUAAUUUAGGCUCUAUAUAAAUGCAUGAAAUGGGAUGCGAAAUGUUCAUAUUAUUAUCUAAAUAUGGUGUUCUAUGUAGUUUCAAUUAUGUAUCGAAAUAAAAUGGUAUUGGCCUAAUUCGAUCUAUACACCGGUUAAUUGGCCAAUACAUCCAAUUCAACUUCGAUUAACUUGAUUCCACUUCCAACACUCCAAGUCAUCAAUUACAAGUUAAAUAAUAUGUAAUAUCACAAAAAUCCAUCAUCAAUAUCUUCCUUGUAAAAUUCGGCCAUUGAAGGUUUAGUGUAGAAUAUGUAAUUUUCAUGCUUGAUUUUUACACCUUACAUCAUAAAACAACUAAAAUCACCUAAAUAGCAUGAAAUUCAUCAAAGUCCAUUAUCCAAUUUCUCUCUUGAAAUUUCAGCCAAGGAGUGUGGGUGAAGGGCAUGAAAUGUCUUGCUUGUUUUUCAUGCUAAACAUUACCAAACAACUAAAAACACUAAGAUACCUUGAAAUCUAACCAAAUAAAUCAUCAAAUCUUCUCUCCCUAAAAUCGGUCAGCCAUGAAUCCUUCAUGAGAUCUUGAAUUUUAACCAUGGUAAUUGAAAAGAAUGCAUAGGAAAGGUAGAUCACAAGCUAGAAUUAAGAAAUUUUACCUUUACUUGCUUAAUUCCUUGAAAUCCAAUAAAUUUUCUCUUGAUUUUCUUCUCUAGGGUUUGUUCUAAGCUUUUUCCCUUUUGUUCUUAGCUUGGCCGGC